GUACCGGGGUGGGAGGGAGGGCUCCCGCGCGGUGCCGGCGCGGGCAUCGGAGGCGCGCCGCUGCUCAGGCCCGCGCCUGGUGCGC
rnacentral:tRNA from 1 species